rnacentral:rRNA from 1 species
GCGUGAGGGAUGACGGCCUUCGGGUUGUAAACCUCUUUCAGUAGGGAAGAAGCGAAAGUGACGGUACCUGCAGAAGAAGCACCGGCUAACUACGUGCCAGCAGCCGCGGUAAUACGUAGGGUGCGAGCGUUAUCCGGAAUUAUUGGGCGUAAAGAGCUCGUAGGCGGUUUGUCGCGUCUGUCGUGAAAGUCCGGGGCUUAACCCCGGAUCUGCGGUGGGUACGGGCAGACUAGAGUGCAGUAGGGGAGACUGGAAUUCCUGGUGUAGCGGUGGAAUGCGCAGAUAUCAGGAGGAACACCGAUGGCGAAGGCAGGUCUCUGGGCUGUAACUGACGCUGAGGAGCGAAAGCAUGGGGAGCGAACAGGAUUAGAUACCCUGGUAGUCCAUGCCGUAAACGUUGGGCACUAGGUGUGGGGAACAUUCCACGUUUUCCGCGCCGCAGCUAACGCAUUAAGUGCCCCGCCUGGGGAGUACGGCCGCAAGGCUAAAACUCAAAGGAAUUGACGGGGGCCCGCACAAGCGGCGGAGCAUGCGGAUUAAUUCGAUGCAACGCGAAGAACCUUACCAAGGCUUGACAUGUUCUCGAUCGCCGUAGAGAUACGGUUUCCCCUUUGGGGCGGGUUCACAGGUGGUGCAUGGUUGUCGUCAGCUCGUGUCGUGAGAUGUUGGGUUAAGUCCCGCAACGAGCGCAACCCUCGUUCCAUGUUGCCAGCACUUCGGGUGGGGACUCAUGGGAGACUGCCGGGGUCAACUCGGAGGAAGGUGGGGAC